rnacentral:rRNA from 1 species
UACGUAGGGGGCAAGCGUUUGUCCGGAUUUAUUGGGCGUAAAGAGCGUGUAGGCGGCCAGACAGGUCAGCUGUGAAAACUCGAGGCUCAACCUCGAGACGUCGGUUGAAACCGUCUGGCUAGAGUCCGGAAGAGGAGAGUGGAAUUCCCGGUGUGAGCGGUGAAAUGCGCAGAUAUCAGGAGGAACACCAAUGGCGAAGGCAGCUCGCUGGAACGGUACUGACGCUGAGGCGCGAAAGCGUGGGGAGCGAACAGG